rnacentral:rRNA from 1 species
AUUUAACGCUUUCUGCAGUCCUAACACAUGCAAGUCGUGCGAGCGUCGGACGGGUGAGUAAUGUAUGGGGAUCUGCCUGAUGGAUGGGGAUAACUACUGUAAACGGUACCUAAUACCGCCUACCAUCAGAUGUAUCCAUAUGGGAUUAGCUUGUUGGUGAGGUAACGGCUAACCUAGGCGACGAUUCCUAGCUGGUCUGAGAGGCUGAUCAGCCACACUGGGACUGAGACACGGCCCAGACUCCUACGGGAGGCAGCAGUGGGGAAUAUUGCACAAUGGGCGCAAGCCGGAUGCAGCCAAGCAGCGGUUAUGAAGAAGGCCUUCGGAUUGUAAAGUACUUUCAGUCGGGAGACGUUACCGACAGAAAAAGCACAGGCUAACUACGUGCCAGCAGCCGCGGUAAUUA